AACAAAGUCACCUGACUGUGACAGGUGGCGACAGGGUUGAAUAGCAUGUAGGGAUAUGCUUCGCCAGAUUAAAUUCCCCACACUUUUAUUCGCGGCAACUAACAUACGCGAUUCGAUAGAACAAAAGAAGAAAUAAACUCAACGCGGUUCGUUAUAACAAAACGUAAUUGGAUAUAAAAAUACUGACACCGUCGUUGACAUACGUUGCAUGUCGCAACUCGCGGUCCGAUUGGUCGGGGUUUUCAGUUAAUAAUUCGACACAAUUAAACUUAUUAGUAAACGAGUCAGAGUGUUAAACUUGCAGGUCGAAGCUUGCGUAGACGUCAGCGAGUGGUACUACAGAAUGUUUCAGAAGAACUUGAAAUUGCGAACGAAUAUAGUAGUCGGCACGGUACCGCUCCAAAAUUACGAGACCCCUCAAAAAACAGACGACGUUACAGAGGCUUUUUCAUCUCAUCCACCGUGCACCAGGUCCGUCGAAGAAUACACCAACGACAUAGCAACAUCGAAAAACAUCGACAGAGAGCGUACUCCGAAGUCAGGUUUGUCUUUGCCGCUUUACGAGAGAAGUCAGAUAUAUCGAUCCUCGAAACCGGACAGAGACGAUCCCACGGGGGAUGAAGGGGACAGCGACAGAGAGGUCAAACCAUAUUCGCCAACGUAUCGCGUGUACAAAUUCCAAUCGUCUGAAAAAAACGGAUAAAUAGACACAUACAUUGUUGGCUAUAUAUAAACACAGAAGAGCCUCGCUUAAUUAUUCGUUCGACUUGAUGUUCGUUAGCGAUGUUUGUAACAGAUUCACAAAAUCGAUUGGAAAUCGUCGAGAAAGAAAUAGGGAAAGGUUGUUGAUGUUGCCUCCAGAAAUUUUAUAUAUUCACGUACACGUAUCUGUGUGGUUAAAUUGCGUCCCAUUCUCAUCCCUAUCGGUCGACUAUAGAUGCCUACAAUUUUGCCUUUGUCUCUUAAUUUCUUACGCAGAAAAAAAAACUUGGAAGGAUCACUAAAGUGAAAGAAACACUGCGAGCGAGAUAUUAAAAUCCGUUUGGGACCAACCUGUGCUGCUAAUUAAAUUCCGUAAUUACACGAGCAACUUGGAAGGAAAGUUAUUCUAUAAUAAUUGUUCGGUCCGUGUUAUCUCCGAUACCAUCGGAGCAAAUUUUUGCGAAACAUGUAACAACAUGUACUGCUUUAAUGUUCAAUAAA